CGUGGAGACAGGUGGUGCAUGGCUGUCGUCAGCUCGUGUCGUGAGAUGUUGGGUUAAGUCCCGCAACGAGCGCAACCCUUGUCCUUGGUUGCCAGCAUUAAGUUGGGCACUUUAAGGAGACUGCCGGUGUCAAACCGGAGGAAGGUGGGGAUGACGUCAAGUCCUCAUGGCCCUUAUGUCCAGGGCUACACACGUGCUACAAUGGUCGAUACAAAGGGUUGCGAAACCGCGAGGUGGAGCUAAUCUCAAAAAGUCGGCCUCAGUUCGGAUUGGAGUCUGCAACUCGACUCCAUGAAGUCGGAAUCGCUAGUAAUCGUGGAUCAGCAUGCCACGGUGAAUACGUUCCCGGGCCUUGUACACACCGCCCGUCACACCACGAAAGUCUGCUGUACUCGAAGUCGCUGAG
rnacentral:rRNA from 1 species